rnacentral:rRNA from 1 species
UACAGAGGGUGCGAGCGUUAAUCGGAAUUACUGGGCGUAAAGCGUGCGCAGGCGGUGAUGUAAGACAGAUGUGAAAUCCCCGGGCUCAACCUGGGAACUGCAUUUGUGACUGCAUCGCUGGAGUACGGCAGAGGGGGAUGGAAUUCCGCGUGUAGCAGUGAAAUGCGUAGAUAUGCGGAGGAACACCGAUGGCGAAGGCAAUCCCCUGGGCCUGUACUGACGCUCAUGCCACGAAAGGCCGUGGGGGAGCAAACAGG